AACUUUGGCAAAUGGAAUUCUGUGCAGCAGAUUGUGUCUCAGAGAAGACUGAUUAAAGGUCAAGAAAAAUGGGCUCUCCAGGGUUUCUGCAAGCCAGUAUCUUCGAGAAAGCGUAUUUUUGAAACAUACUUAUUUGAGUUAAAAUUGUGAAAUGCAUUUAAAAAUUGAAAUUGGAAGUAGAACUACUGGAGAAGUUUUAAAUAUUUAUUGGAACAGAAAGAGC